GCUUACUGGAGGACUUCAGCAGUGCUGGGGAUGGUGCAGAAAGCUAACUCUGUUCUCCCAACCACAGACUUUUAAAGCUUGGUAAAUAAACACUGGAUAAACUCGAGAGAGUUUCUGGACUGCAAAGACUUUACGGUUCUGAGUUCUCCAGGGCUGGCAUGCUACAAUGAUGCUGGAAACAGUCUGACGUCUCUAGUAGAUCACAA